UACGUAGGUGGCAAGCGUUGUCCGGAUUUACUGGGCGUAAAGAGCGCGCAGGCGGUCGUUCAAGUCGCGUGUGAAAGCCCCCCGGCUCAACUGGGGAGGGUCACGCGAUACUGAUCGACUCGAAGGCAGGAGAGGGUAGUGGAAUUCCUGGUGUAGCGGUGAAAUGCGUAGAGAUCAGGAGGAACACCCGUGGCGAAGGCGGCCCCCUGGGUCGGCCCUGACGCUGAGGCGCGAAAGCGUGGGGAGCGAACAGG
rnacentral:rRNA from 1 species